rnacentral:rRNA from 1 species
GACUGUGAAGCUGGCACGCUAGUGUUGGUGGAGUCGUUGUUGAAAUACCACUCUGGUCGGAUUGGGAAUCUGAACCUCGGACCAUGAUCUGGUUCAGGGACAGUGCCUGAUGGGUAGUUUAACUGGGGCGGUUGCCUCCUAAAGAGUAACGGAGGCGCCCAAAGGUUCCCUCAGCCUGGUUGGCAAUCAGGUGUUGAGUGCAAGUGCACAAGGGAGCUUGACUGUGAGACAGACAUGUCGAGCAGGGACGAAAGUCGGGACUAGUGAUCCGGCACCACCUGGUGGAAGGGGUGUCGCUCAACGGAUAAAAGGUACCCCGGGGAUAACAGGCUGAUCUUGCCCAAGAGUCCAUAUCGACGGCAUGGUUUGGCACC